rnacentral:lncRNA from 1 species
UACUACUAUGGUCUCAACCUCGUCUUUAGAUUUGUGAUAGAUAUCUUUAGAAGCGAGUCGUGCAUCCUCUAAACAAAAAUGCUUUGUUACCUCUCGUUAGAACUUACUUGGUGGAAAGCAUAAAGUGUAAACGACUGAUUUUUUAUAUGAUCUUCGCUUUGUGUGUCACAACUUGAAAUCUUGCAAAGAAUAUAAGCGUGAGCCAUUGAUGAUUUUCAAAUUUAUUGGAGUCCCCUUUGUUCUUGAGUUUUGUUACCCAGAAACCUGGAAGAGUAAGUUAAGAAAAUCUGGAAAGAGAGACAAAUAAAACUUGUACCUAUCAGCAUUUUCUUGCUCAAUCCUUGUCUCGUUUUCUGUUCUUUCUCCUUCAAACGAGCCGUGAUAUUUGUUCUUGAGUUUUGUUUCCCAAAAUCCUGCAAGACUAAGUUAAAAAAAAUUCUGGAAAGCCUUGCUAUAAACCUGUUCGUCUUGUCAGGAAGGAUUUUCUUGCUCGAUCCUUGUCUCUUUUCGUGUUCUUUCUCCUUCAAACGAGCCGUGAUAUUUUUCGCUUUCUCAUCCCAGAGCCUGCAAAUGCGUUUCUCUCAAUCCAAAACCUUCCAAGAAACAAAUCAGUCCACUAAGUAGCACACACUUUGUGCACGAACUGACCAAAAAAACCUCACUCGACAUAAAGCCUGUGACCACGAGAAAACUUUUAACUUACUUUCCACGACGGACGUGUGAAGCUCCCGAAACAAGUACUCCAAACGCAUGCCUAUCAGUAACAAAAGCAUUCCUCACCUAAGAAAUCCCAAGCGCCAUUUAAGUCUCCAAAAUCCACGUACCUGGUCUGUGGGAAGCAAUGGAGCUCAGCUCGUACCAACUCUUCUUUCUCGCAACCGGUUUCUUCCUCAUGCUCGUCUCCGUCGAAUCCCAGUCCCAAUCCGAGAGCGCGACUUGCAAGGAGCAAGAGAUGCUCCUCCUCGUCAACUUCAAGGCCGGCUUCACUGACAGCCAAAACAUGCUGGUACACUGGAAUCAGAACAACACAAACUGCUGCAAAUGGAAUGGAAUUACCUGCGAUAGGUACGUACUUCCUUUUCCCCAGUAGAAAAGAUAUAACCAUCGUCUCACCACCUCGCGGUUCUCAAACAGCCACGGGAACGUUAUUUCCAUCGACUGGGGCUUCUCCAACUACAACAUCGCGGCCAAGUCGAGAGCUCGCGUAAAUGUAUUCGUGACGUACCUUCCACAGCUGGAGUACCUUCGUUAUCUCGAUCUCUCCACGGUCCAGCUCUCCAUGGCCAUUCCUCCGGAGAUAGGCUCCAUGAUGGGUCUCGAGGCUCUUUCGCUGGCGGGGAGCUCACUUAUGGGACAGUUGCCGACGAACAUCAGCAACCUCGUUAGCCUGCGGCAUUUGGACCUGUCGAGCAAUCCCCUCGGCAUAAGAAUCCCCACAAGCUUGUGUGACUUACAGAACCUUGAGCACCUCUCGCUCAAUCACUCCCAGUUUCACGGUGCCGUUCCGCAGUGCUUCGGCACCGCAAUGCCGAACCUGACGUUCCUGGAUAUGUCAGCCAACAAUCUCUUAGGAGUGCCAUCGUUUGCAAACUUGACGCAGCUGAAGUACCUGAACUUGAGCAGCAACAUCUUCAGCAGCAAACUCCUGAGAAGUAUCUGCGACGCCACCAGUCUCGAGCAGCUCGACUUGUCCAGGUCCAUGAGCUUGAGUGCCACACUUCCAGACUGCUUCUUCGAUCUCACCGCGCUCAAGUAUCUGGACCUGUCAGGAAACAUGCUCAUGGGCUCAAUAUCGGACUCCAUUGGAAACUUCAAACGUCUCACUUACCUCAGUCUCGACGGGAAUCAGUUCACCGGUGGAAUACCGUAUGGAAUCAGCGACCUUUCCAGUCUCGUCAUUCUUGACAUGGUGGACAUGUUUGACGAAAAUGCAAGAACUUCCAUCCCUUCGUUUCUUGGAGAGCUCACCAAUCUUCGAGUUCUUCGGCUCAGUGGUCGUGCAUGGCGAGGUGCCAUUCCCAGCAGUAGCAUCCAGAACCUCACCAGCCUGCAGGAGAUGAUAAUUACGACCGCACCUUAUAUUAAUGGGCCGCUUCCUUCCGAGCUUGCUGGUCUCACCACCUUACAGACGCUGAUAAUCACCGGUACAACUGUCUGGGGUAGCAUUCCCUCCGAGCUCGGGAACCUUCCGCAGCUGCGAGUUCUCGACCUCUCAAGCAACAUGCUGUCAGGUAGCAUUCCUCGGAACCUUGGGAGACUUCAGACGCUUCGGGAGCUCCAA